GACGAACGCUGGCGGCGUGCUUAACACAUGCAAGUCGAACGGGAAGGUCCUGCUUUUGUGGGGUGCUCGAGUGGCGAACGGGUGAGUAACACGUGAGUAACCUGUACCUGACUUUGGGAUAAAUUCAGGAAACUGGGGCUCAUACCGGAUAGGAGCUCCUGCUGCAUGGUGGGGGUUGGAAAGUUUCGGCGGUUGGGGAUGGAAUCGCGGCUUAUCCGCCUGUUGGUGGGGUAGUGGCUUACCAAGGUUAUGACGGGUAGCCGGCCUGAGAGGGUGGCCGGCGACAUUGGGACUGAGAUACGGCCCAGACUCGUACGGGAGGCAGCAGUGGGGAAUAUUGCACAGUGGGCGGAAGCCUGAUGCGGCAACGCCGCGUGCGGGAUGACGGCCUUCGGGUUGUGAACCGCUUUCGCCUGUGACGAAGCGUGAUUGACGGUAAUGGGUAAAGAAGCACCGGCUAACUACGUG
rnacentral:rRNA from 1 species